CGACUUGACAACUGCUGCAACAUGAGGACGACAAGACUGACUUUCAAACACCCAUAUUGAGCAACGCUGGAAGAUAACUCUGGACCUUCUCAACCCUCAAACAUGUUCUAGAACUCACUGAUCAUUUUCAUCCUGUGCUGGUGAUGGGGAUUUCUCUGAAUCCGCUGGCUUGUCUGCUCCACAAUUUUGUCUGUUGCACUUG
rnacentral:misc_RNA from 1 species